AUUGAACGCUGGCGGCAGGCUUAACACAUGCAAGUCGAGCGGAGAUGAGGUGCUUGCACCUUAUCUUAGCGGCGGACGGGUGAGUAAUGCCUAGGAAUCUGCCUAUUAGUGGGGGACAACAUUCCGAAAGGAAUGCUAAUACCGCAUACGCCCUACGGGGGAAGGCAGGGGAUCUUCGGACCUUGCGCUACUAGAUGAGCCUAAGUCGGAUUAGCUAGUUGGUGGGGUAAAGGCCUACCAAGGCGACAAUCUGUAGCGGGUCUGAGAGGAUGAUCCGCCACACUGGGACUGAGACACGGCCCAGACUCCUACGGGAGGCAGCAGUGGGGAAUAUUGGACAAUGGGCGGAAGCCUGAUCCAGCCAUGCCGCGUGUGUGAAGAAGGCCUUUUGGUUGUAAAGCACUUUAAGCGAGGAGGAGGCUACCUGGAUUAAUACUCUAGGAUAGUGGACGUUACUCGCAGAAUAAGCACCGGCUAACUCUGUGCCAGCCGCCGCAGUAAAAC
rnacentral:rRNA from 1 species